AGCGAACGCUGGCGGCAGGCCUAACACAUGCAAGUCGAACGAACUCUUCGGAGUUAGUGGCGGACGGGUGAGUAACACGUGGGAACGUGCCUUUAGGCUCGGAAUAACUCAGGGAAACUUGUGCUAAUACCGAAUGUGCCCUUCGGGGGAAAGAUUUAUCGCCUUUAGAGCGGCCCGCGUCUGAUUAGCUAGUUGGUGAGGUAAAGGCUCACCAAGGCGACGAUCAGUAGCUGGUCUGAGAGGAUGAUCAGCCACAUUGGGACUGAGACACGGCCCAAACUCCUACGGGAGGCAGCAGUGGGGAAUCUUGCGCAAUGGGCGAAAGCCUGACGCAGCCAUGCCGCGUGAAUGAUGAAGGUCUUAGGAUUGUAAAAUUCUUUCACCGGGGACGAUAAUGACGGUACCCGGAGAAGAAGCCCCGGCUAACUUCGUG
rnacentral:rRNA from 1 species